UACGUAGGGGGCUAGCGUUGUCCGGAAUCAUUGGGCGUAAAGCGCACGUAGGCGGCGCUGCAAGUCGGAUGUGAAAUCCCUCGGCUUAACCAAGGAAGUGCAUCCGAAACUGCAGUGCUUGAGUACUUAAGAGGAUCGCGGAAUUCCCGGUGUAGAGGUGAAAUUCGUAGAUAUCGGGAGGAACACCAGUGGCGAAGGCGGCGAUCUGGGAAGAUACUGACGCUGAGGUGCGAAAGCAUGGGGAGCAAACAGG
rnacentral:rRNA from 1 species